GUCUUUUUCUGCCAUGAGAAUAAAAGCAUGGAAGAUGACAACUGAAAGUAAUUCAGUUGAUUUGGGAAAUUAAGGUCAUACUUCAUCCCAUGAAGGAUUGACACCAGGCAUCCGCUAAAUAUCUUGUUAAGGAACAAGCUCUAAAGAUUUAAAAAAAGUGCCUUCCUUUUAAUUCAUCUGGACCGACCUGCGUCAUCUGGAGAGCCAGAAAGAGUAUUGGAUAAUGCAGUAAAGAGAGAAGCAUGCCCCCUCAUACUCCAUGAUGAUAUUUUCUGCGAUGUUUUGCAGUAUUUGCCUCCAACUUUCUUUCUUCACUUUCCCUGAUUACCAUCUACAGAAAGAUAGCUGGCUUCCACUUCCAGCAACAAGCUUUUGUUCCAGCAAUAAUCAAGAAGAUUUGAACCACAGUACAAGCAGACAUAUAUCUUCAACAGGCAAAGAUUCAAAACUUCCCAGCAACUGAUAUGAGGUUCCACUGCAUCCUAAAUAUGCAAGACCUCUCCAAUGGCUUUCAGGUAGAUCUUGCCAAGACGGGUGCCAAGAACAUGCCCACAGUGUUUUUGCUGACAGAUGCCCAGGUUCCAGAUGAAUGCUUUCUUGUGCUGAUUAAUGACUUGUUGGCAUCAGGAGAGGCUCCAGAUCUGUUCUGUGAUGAAGACAUGAAGGUCACAACUGCAGCAGUUAGAAAAGAAGUCUGAGCCCUGGGCCUGAUGGACAUCAGCAAACACUCCUGGAGGUGAUUCCUGAGGCUGUGGCUGCAGCAGAAACAACUCAUCCAGAACUCCACAGUUUAUGGGGAUUUUAUGGCUUCUGCCUGCACCAGUGUGAAUGUCCUGAGUGCCAAGUACAAUAGGCAGUACAACUGCACCACUCCAAAUAGUUUUCUGAAGUAAAUCAUGCUUUAUAAUGUCCUCCUGGACAAAAUACAAAACAAGAGGCUGUCAUGACACAUGGAACACUUGGUAAAGGCAUGCAGAAGCUUUCUUCAGAAAGAGGGAAGCCAGCAGCUUUCCAGGCUCUGCUGGAGUUAUGUGCUCAGAGUGAAUACCAAGCACUUUUCAGGGCAUCCCUCUGCCCUUGCACUGGCGCCUUUGCCCCGGGCAGCAGCUGCGCCUCUUUUGCACCGCUGCAAUAUCUGACUGCAGCCCCAGCCUCAGCAGCAGGACAGACAUCUGAGCAUCCCAGGUAGAAGAUCUAAAAUCCAAACUUGCUACUCAAGAGGCAGAACUGCAACUGAAAAAUCAAGGUACUGAAGCUUUGAUUGCUAAGAUAGGGUGUCAGACUGAGAAACUGAGCCAAGAAAAGGCCAUUGCAGAUGCAGAGGAGCUAAAGGUUGAAUUUAGGGGGAGAAGAUUUGACUCUGCAUCACUCUUUUCUGUGUACCUUGGGUGACAAACUCAAGCCAGCCUGAGCACCACUGGGAUUUAUUGAAUGCAGAACCAGGAGAAAACGAAAGGGAGAACAUUCCAUUACAUUUAUGCAAUUUCCCCCUAAUUUGCCAAGCAAGACAUAAAUCACAGAUUGUA